UGAAUUAUAAGUGAAUACUAUAAAUCAAGA
rnacentral:piRNA from 1 species